rnacentral:misc_RNA from 1 species
CAACCCUCAAGCCCCGCUUGGUGAUGGGCCCCGCCCGCGGGCGGGCCCGAAACUCGCAGGCGCCUCCGCCCGGCCUCAAGCGUAGCAAAACCCUCGCUUGGGCGCCCGGGCGGCGGCCGCCCCGAAACGAAUCUAUCACAA